rfam:Volvox carteri f. nagariensis unplaced genomic scaffold VOLCAscaffold_14, whole genome shotgun sequence.
GGUCCUAUGGCUUAACGGAUAAAGCGCCGGUCUACGGAACCGGAGAUUCCAGGUUCGAUCCCUGGUAGGAUCG